GUCCACGCCGUAAACGAUGCCGACUCGGUAUCCGUGGGGCGAAUAGCCCUGGGGGUGCCCCAGCUCACGCGGUAAGUCGGCCGCCUGGGGACUACGAGCGCAAGCUUAAAACUCAAAGGAAUUGACGGGGCCCGCACAAGCAGCGGAGCGUGUGGUUUAAUUCGACGCAACGCGCAGAACCUUACCUAGCCUUGACAUGGGUCUGCAGAGUGGUGAAAGCUGCUCGCCUUCGAGGGUGACCCACCGGUGCUGCAUGGCUGUCGU
rnacentral:rRNA from 1 species